rnacentral:rRNA from 1 species
GACGAACGCUGGCGGCGUGCUUAACACAUGCAAGUCGAACGGCAAGGCCCUGCUUUUGUGGGGUGCUCGAGUGGCGAACGGGUGCGUAACACGUGAGUAACCUGCCCUUGACUUUGGGAUAACUUCAGGAAACUGGGGCUAAUACCGGAUAGGAGCUCCUGCUGCAUGGUGGGGGUUGGAAAGUUUCGGCGGUUGGGGAUGGACUAGCGGCUUAUCAGCUUGUUGGUGGGGGAGUGGCUUACCAAGGCUUUGACGGGUAGCCGGCCUGAGAGGGUGACCGGGCACAUUGGGACUGAGAGAGGGACCAGACUCGUACGGGAGGCAGCAGGGGGGAAUAUGGCACAAUGGGCGGAAGCCUGAUGCAGCAACGCUGGGUGCGGGAUGACGGCCUUCGGGGUGUAAACCGCUUUCGCCUGUGACGAAGCGGGAGUGACGGUAAUGGGUAAAGAAGCACCGGCUAACUACGUG